rnacentral:lncRNA from 12 species
AGCUAACUUAAACUCAAAGGUCAUUUGUUUUUUUGGUGGUGGUGGGGGGGAGCGCACAGGUGGGAAGUCUGGAGAAUCCGACUUGGAAAACAGGGGCCAAGUAUACUGCAGGAGUCUAGACAGAAGGAAUUCCCACCCAGAACUGUUACAAUGUCUCACCUGGAAUAAUUAGAUAUGACCCUAUUAGCGUCUUACGUGGCUACUAUCUACAGCCCGAGAGGACGCAUGUGCGGCUCUGUGUUGGGUCUUGGCGCUGCUCCUGGGUUGAAGGUCAGGUCGCCUUGAGUAAGAGUCUCAUGAUGAAGGAGAAGUAAUUACCUAAAGAAAACCGGGGCGCUGCUGCCCAGGGAGCACGGGCCAGCAGAGAUGCCGGAGCCUAGAGGCCGGGCUCAGAGAGACCUUGGAGACGCACCGCUCGGGGCGGCGGGAAUCGGGCGCGGGCAGACUCCACGAGGAGGGUUUUCCAGCACCCAGACAGGUCCGGGCUGGGCUGGGCGUACCAGGCCGGGAGGAGAACAGCAGCCACGUGCUCAGUCCAGAUGCUAGAAACAAGGCCAGGAUGACCCGAUCGAUGACCUCGCACGCACGUGUUCUCUGAGUGCACCUGGCCGUGGGGAGGUCAGCACCAGGACGACGGGGACGAGAUGCCACACGAGUACUUUGAAGUAGUGAAGCCUUUCAAUGGUGUCCUAUCACCAGGGAUACUGAUGGAAAACAUUUGUAUUUCGAGCUUUUAAAAUAUUGAUCAUCAAUUUGAGUUCUAAUCCGAGAGAUCCUGUGGGUGCCGUGUCUCUCUUCCGGGAGGUGGGGAGGUACCACCGGGAGACUACUUGGCACUCACACGAUUAAAGGGCGCCACGUACUUUUUCUUUGCGGAGAAGAAAGAACCGAGAAGGCAAAGGUUUGAGAUGGUGAAGGUGAGGGAUGGCGGGGCGGGGGGGGGGCUGAGUCAGGAACACGACUGGGGCAGCUGAGCUAUUUCCCACCUGAAGCCCAGUGUGCAGACUGACUUCAAUCUGACACGUGUGAGACCUGCUGCCCAUGGGGCCCCCAACACUGUCAAGUGGGGGACGAGUUUAGGGGACUCCGAUGCCGUCAGAAGAGGACGCAGCCUUUGGUAUUGUCGAUCUAGAGCUGGUUUGAAACGAAGCCGCUUCAUUUCCGCUGGGGGCCCAUGACUUACGGCUACUGUCCUCUCGACUAUGUACAAAGGCUCUGAAAGUUCUCUGAAGGUGAAUCGAACGGGAUUUUGUCCUCAAAGAGCUAAUGAUUUGAAUGGGAUACAAGCGAUGUACUUCUACCCAAGAUAGGAAGUGGAAAAUGGGGGGUGCCUGGCUGGCUUAGUGCAAAGAGCAUGCGACUCUGAUCACAGGGUCAUGCGUUCGAGUCUCACAUGGGGUGUGGCAAUCACUUAAAUGAAUAGAACUUAAAGAAAAAAAAAGUAGAAAAUGAAUAAGGAUCAUGAGAGUGUUAUGGAGUGCUAUUUAACCCUAUACUUUCAGUUUACAAUUUCAUUUGUUUGAAAUAAUGACGGCUCCUCAUGAGCAUCUGAAGACCAUAGUGCAGCGAAUCUAAUUUCUUAAGAAAAACUAUUUUAUUGCCAAACACAUCAAAGGUAUAUACAUCUCCACUCUGGAUGUAUUUCUAGCAAGUUUUACAUUUAUUUGUUAAAAUUAGGCAUUAAACAGUUAAUGCUAUUUCUACUGAUAACAACUUGAAUAAUUUGUAUAGCACUUUUUAACUUUCAAUCUGAUUUUACACCGAUUUUCUCAUUUGUUUCUUGUAACAAUUAGAUGUGGCAAGAUAGGCAAUAGCAUUUCUAUUUGGCAUUUCUAUUUGAGAAAACUAAGGCUCAAGGUCAUUGGGUGAUUUACCCAAGUUCAGCCAAUGAGGUGGAUUUGAAAAUAAAGUCACAGUUUAUUGGUUCCU